rnacentral:sRNA from 1 species
GCUGGGCAAGGUGGCUGAUGCCUGUAGUUCCAGUCACUGAGAAGGCUGAAGCAGAAGAAUUGCAAAUUGAAGGGUAGCCUUUGCAACUUAGCAAGACCCUGUAUCAAAAAUGAAAGUAUUUAUUUUUGGUACCAGGAAUGGAACCCACGGUGUUUCACCACUGAGCUACACCCCCAGCCCUUUUUCUAUUUUUUUAUUUUGAUACAGGGCCUUGCUAACUUGCUGAGUCUGGGCCUCAAACUUGCAAUCCCUUCUGUCUCAG